rnacentral:lncRNA from 1 species
UGCCUGUCAAGGGUCGUUUCCAGUAGUGUGUGAAUGCGCCUCAACUGAGGGAUGGCAGCACAAAUGAAUAGACAGUGACAACAACUGGAACACAAUCCACUAAUGCUUCAUGCUCUCUUGCGAAAAAAAAAAAAAAAAAAAAAAGGAUGUGUGAAUGCUCCUUGGCUAAGGGUACGCAGCACAUGCACUAUGUUAAACACAGUGUGGUCAAAAUGUCCUUGUUGUUGUCAUGGCAUAGUACCCCCUGAAUCCGAUGGCGAAGUGGACACGUGACUCAUCUAUCUCAUACCCGUGUUCCACACAAACCUCAUUCCAUCUGCCAUAAACGUCUGGAUCGCACCGGGACAUCUCCUGCUCAAAAUGAGUGAGGUGAAAGCACUUCAGCUGAAGGAAUGGCUGCCUCACUUGCUCACGAGUUGAUUUCUUGCUUCUUUCCUUCAAUCUGCCACCUUUGGUAAUCACCUCUCCUUAUGUGAGCUGUAAAUAAGAGUGUUUUUUUUCCGCAUUAAUUCUGCAUUUUGGUGUUUAGGUGUUGGUUUGUCUAAGUGAUGUUCAUGGGUCACUCGAUCACAGUUUCUAUGUGAUGUCUUGUAUGUUACUCAUGCUUGGUUUGUGUCACUCUGUGGAUUUUUUUUUUGGGCCUCGUAGCCCAUUGUUAUCGGGCUUAUC